AAACACACGCUGGAAAUAACUGCUGUACUAGAAAAAUGUUUUACGGGGAAAUAGUGUAUAUAGGAAAAACCAGUUCGAAAAGAGCGCCUAAGAUCAAAAAGAGAUGUGUGGAGUUAUAUUAGGUUAGGUAAUCUGGUGACGAAUAUCACUAUAUAUAUAUAUAUAUAUAUAUAGAAGCGCUGAGAGGUGCAGCACUGUGCUAUAAAAUCUUUAGUUCGUGUUUUUCUAUCGGUAGCUUAAAAUGACGAUAUUCGGGAAAAUUGUGGACCUCGAUAGAGUAGCGAUGUAGAGGCGGUAAGACGCGCGAAGGGGAAUAACAGCCCAGGUGUCCCAGUUUCCGUGAGUAAAACCGUUCAUUUCACAAUAGAUUAUCAUAUGAGUUUGAACAAGGCAUGAAACAUACAAUGCAUAAUUGUCGUCUGAAUGCCUCGCGACUAUUUACAACUGUCUCAAAAUAAAACAAAAGGUCUGAAUAGAUAAUAGAAACGAAAACGGAAAUAAUAGGGCAGAUCUAAAUGUUUACUUUUAAACGAAUUAGCGGACGACUACUUCGUUCUAUUGCAUUUCGUCUGCUUAGUGACAAACAAUAGCGAACAGUUUGCUACUACGAAAUGUUGGCUGGAUGGAAAAAGGCUUGUCGUACCCUACGACCAUAACAAUCAGUUACGCGAGAGAGGACGUUUCAGAUUUUUGGGCGAAGAAUUGGACCAAGCAAUUUUUGCAUCUCUUCAUGGAAGUCACAUAACACCACUAGGGCGGUCCUGCAAAGACCGAAACAGGCUGUAGGUGGCGGUGUUGCUAAUGGGCGUAACAGACGCCGAUGGCGACAGCAAAGAAAAGUCGCGGCCGUAAAUUAUAAUGCACGAGGGACCGCUUACGAAUCGGAAGUCGUUACUUCAGGAAGACUGCACAACCUGACCGGAUAGGCCGUCAGCCCGAACUCAGCGUAUCAUAUACAAGGGCGUCUACGUACGUUUCUACGUACUUGUUGGAACAAUGCUCGUACUGUGCCGAGCAGCAUAGCUUUCCUCAAUAUACACCGAUACAUAUGAAAUAGCUAAGACGUGAACAAAAUAAAUGUUCUGUUCGUGUUACGGGUAUCAUGUAAUGGUUCGCGGCCUCGCACAUAUCAACCCAACAAAGCUGAUAGUUAAAGAGAUACGAAGGCAUAUGCAUUAACAUUUAUAAUCAAAUACGGAGAAAGAUAGAAAAAAAAACACGGAUAUCAAUGAAAAAAGCUCUGUUCUAGAAGUGUCAUUACUGACAUAUCCUUAGAUGAAACGACUAACUCGACGGCGACAGAUGGAAAAAUACCGAGUCGUAAGGCUUUUAGUUGCUAUGUAAUCUGUUUGUUUCAAGUAAAUCGCAUACAUCAUAAAGAAAAAAAAAAAAGUAAAAAUGAUGGGUGUGUUUACGGUGAGCUAAGGAAAUGCAAGAUUGACCUAAUAUUUGUUCCAAGUAGCCAGCCUUGAAUAAGACGUGUGUAAAGAUGCCCCAGAAUUAAGCAUAGGUUUCCUCCACAGGGCACAAAUCUGCA
rnacentral:lncRNA from 1 species